AACGAACGCUGGCGGCAUGCCUAACACAUGCAAGUCGAACGAGCCCUUCGGGUCCAGUGUCGUCUGGGUUUGUAACGCGUGGGAACCUGCCCUUAGGGUCGGAAUAACUAUCCGACAGGGGUGCCUAUACCGGAUCAUGUCUUCGGACCAAGGAUUUCUCGCGCUUGGUUGGUCCCGAGUUGGAUUAGCUCGUUGGUAGGGUAAAAGCCUACUAAGGCGACGAUCCAUAGCUGGUCAGAGAGACUGAUCAGCCACACUGAGACUGAGACACGGCCCAGAAUCCUACGGGAGGCAGCAGUGGGGAAUAUUGGAACAUGGGCGGAAGCAUGAUCCAGCAAUGCCGCGUGAGUGAUGAAGGCAUUGGGGUUGUAAAGCUCUUUUAACCGGGAUGAUAAUGACAGUACCGGAAGAAUAAGCUCCGGCUAACUCCGUG
rnacentral:rRNA from 1 species